rnacentral:rRNA from 1 species
AAAGGAAUUGACGGGGACCCGCACAAGCGGUGGAUGAUGUGGUUUAAUUCGAUGCAACGCGAAAAACCUUACCCACCUUUGACAUGGCAGGAACUUACCAGAGAUGGUUUGGUGCUCGAAAGAGAACCUGCACACAGGUGCUGCAUGGCUGUCGUCAGCUCGUGUCGUGAGAUGUUGGGUUAAGUCCCGCAACGAGCGCAACCCUUGCCAUUAGUUGCUACAUUCAGUUGAGCACUCUAAUGGGACUGCCGGUGCAAACCGAAGGAAGGUGGGGAUGACGUCAAGUCCUCAUGGCCCUUAUAGGUGGGGCUACACACGUCAUACAAUGGCUGGUACAAAGGGUUGCCAACCCGCGAGGGGGAGCUAAUCCCAUAAAGCCAGUCGUAGUCCGGAUCGCAGUCUGCAACUCGACUGCGUGAAGUCGGAAUCGCUAGUAAUCGUGGAUCAGAAUGUCACGGUGAAUACGUUCCCGGGUCUUGUACACACCGCCCGUCACA